rnacentral:rRNA from 1 species
CAAUAGCGUAUAUUUAAGUUGUUGCAGUUAAAAAGCUCGUAGUUGGAUUUCGGAUGGGACUUGCCGGUCCGUCGUUUCGAUGUGCACUGGCCAGUCCUAUCUUGUUGUCGGGGACUAGCUCCUGGGCUUCACUGUCCGGGACUAGGAGCUGACGAGGUUACUUUGAGUAAAUUAGAGUGUUCAAAGCAAGCCUACGCUCUGAAUGCAUUAGCAUGGAAUAACACGAUAGGACUCUGGCUUAUCUUGUUGGUCUGUGAGACCAGAGUAAUGAUUAAGAGGGACAGUCGGGGCAUUCGUAUUUCAUUGUCAGAGGUGAAAUUCUUGGAUUUAUGAAAGACGAACUUCUGCGAAAGCAUUUGUCAAGGAUGUUUUCAUUAA